rnacentral:rRNA from 1 species
AUUGAACGCUGGCGGAAUGCUUUACACAUGCAAGUCGAACGGUAGAGGGGGGCAACCCCUUGAGAGUGGCGAACGGGUGAGUAAUAUAUCGGAACGUGCCCAGUCGUGGGGGAUAACGUAGCGAAAGCUGCGCUAAUACCGCAUACGAUCUGAGGAUGAAAGCGGGGGACCGUAAGGCCUCGCGCGAUCGGAGCGGCCGAUGUCAGAUUAGGUAGUUGGUGGGGUAAAGGCUCACCAAGCCGACGAUCUGUAGCUGGUCUGAGAGGACGACCAGCCACACUGGGACUGAGACACGGCCCAGACUCCUACGGGAGGCAGCAGUGGGGAAUUUUGGACAAUGGGCGCAAGCCUGAUCCAGCAAUGCCGCGUGCAGGAAGAAGGCCUUCGGGUUGUAAACUGCUUUUGUACGGAGCGAAAAGGUCUUCCCUAAUACGGGAGGCUGAUGACGGUACCGUAAGAAUAAGCACCGGCUAACUACGUG